ACAAACUUGGUCAUUUAGAGGAAGUAAAAGUCGUAACAAGGUUUCCGUAGGUGAACCUGCGGAAGGAUCAUUACAAGAGGUUUUCAAAUUGUCCGUGGUCCCCCCCCCCCAAACGGGGGACCCGGGCAAUCAACCAUCGAUCUCUCACCUUGUGCACCUAUUUUUUUUUUGAACUACAUAAUGGUAAAUAACUGUUAUGUAGUUCUAAACACCUUUCCUAAAGCCUUAUCGUCUGUCUGAUGAAAAAAAAAAACUUUAUAAAAUUUUAAUACAACUUUCAACAACGGAUCUCUUGGCUCUCGCAUCGAUGAAGAACGCAGC
rnacentral:misc_RNA from 1 species